rnacentral:tRNA from 1 species
GCCGAAGUGGUGGAAUUGGUAGACACGUCGGUCUCAAAAACCGAUGCCCUCUGGGCGUGCCGGUUCGAUUCCGGCCUUCGGUACCA